CUUUUAAAGGAUAGUAGUCAUCCCCUGGCUUUAGGCGCC
rnacentral:tRNA from 1 species